rnacentral:rRNA from 1 species
AUUGAACGCUGGCGGCAUGCUUUACACAUGCAAGUCGAACGGUAACAGGGUGCUUGCACCGCUGACGAGUGGCGAACGGGUGAGUAAUGCGUCGGAACGUGCCGAGUAGUGGGGGAUAACGCAGCGAAAGUUGUGCUAAUACCGCAUACGUACUGAGGUAGAAAGUGGGGGACCUUCGGGCCUCACGCUAUUCGAGCGGCCGACGUCUGAUUAGCUAGUAGGUGAGGUAAAGGCUAACCUAGGCGACGAUCAUUAGCGGUUCUGAGAGGAUGAUCCGCCACACUGGGACUGAGACACGGCCUAGACUCCUACGGGAGGCAGCAGUGGGGAAUUUUGGACAAUGGGCGAAAGCCUGAUCCAGCCAUGCCGCGUGUCUGAAGAAGGCCUUCGGGUUGUAAAGGACUUUUGUCGGGGAGGAAAUCCCCAGCGUUAAUACCGCUGGGGGAUGACAGUACCUGAAGAAUAAGCACCGGCUAACUUCGUGCCAGCAGCCGCAGUAACAC